GUCUUGAUAGCUCAGUGGUAGAGCGAUUGAUUGAAAAUCAAUAGGUCGAUGGUUCAAAUCCAUCUCAAGACA
rnacentral:tRNA from 1 species